CCUACGUGUGGCAGCAGUGAGGAAUAUUGGUCAAUGGACGCGAGCCUGAACCAGCCAAGUAGCGUGAAGGAUGACUGCCCUACGGGUUGUAAACUUCUUUUAUAAGGGAAUAAAGUGCGGCACGUGUGCCUUUUUGUAUGUACUUUAUGAAUAAGGAUCGGCUAACUCCGUGCCAGCAGCCGCGGUAAUACGGAGGAUCCGAGCGUUAUCCGGAUUUAUUGGGUUUAAAGGGAGCGUAGACGGGUUGUUAAGUCAGUUGUGAAAGUUUGCGGCUCAACCGUAAAAUUGCAAUUGAUACUGGGAGUCUUGAGUGCAGUUGAGGUAGGCGGAAUUCGUGGUGUAGCGGUGAAAUGCUUAGAUAUCACGAAGAACUCCGAUUGCGAAGGCAGCUUACUAAACUGCCACUGACGUUGAUGCUCGAAAGUGUGGGUAUCAAACAGGAUUAGAUACCCUAGUAGUC
rnacentral:rRNA from 1 species